CCUACGGGAGGCAGCAGUGGGGAAUCUUGCACAAUGGGGGAAACCCUGAUGCAGCGACGCCGCGUGCGUGAAGAAGUCUUUCGGUAUGUAAAGCUCUAUCAGAAGGGAAGAAGAAAGACGGUACCUAACUAAGAAGCCCCGGCUAACUACGUGCCAGGAGCCGCGGUAAUCCGGAGGGCGCAAGCGUUAUCCGGAUUUACUGGGUGUAAAGGGAGCGUAGACGGCUGUGCAAGUGUGAAGUGAAAGCCCAGGGCUCAACCCUGGGACUGCUUGGGAAACUGUGGAGCUAGAGUGCUGGAGAGGUAAGUGGAAUUCCUAGUGUAGCGGUGAAAUGCGUAGAUAUUAGGAGGAACACCAGUGGCGAAGGCGGGUUACUGGACAGUAACUGACGUUGAGGCUCGAAAGCGUAGGGAGCAAACAGGAUUAGAUACCCUGGUAGUC
rnacentral:rRNA from 1 species